rnacentral:rRNA from 1 species
ACUACGGGUGGCAGCAGUGGGGAAUAUUGCACAAUGGGGGGAACCCUGAUGCAGCGACGCCGCGUGAGUGAAGAAGUAUUUCGGUAUGUAAAGCUCUAUCAGCAGGGAAGAAAAUGACGGUACCUGACUAAGAAGCCCCGGCUAACUACGUGCCAGCAGCCGCGGUAAUACGUAGGGGGCAAGCGUUAUCCGGAUUUACUGGGUGUAAAGGGAGCGCAGACGGCUGUGCAAGUCUGGAGUGAAAGGCGGGGGCCCAACCCCCGGACUGCUCUGGAAACUGUAAAGCUGGAGUGCAGGAGAGGUAAGCGGAAUUCCUAGUGUAGCGGUGAAAUGCGUAGAUAUUAGGAGGAACACCAGUGGCGAAGGCGGCUUACUGGACUGCAACUGACGUUGAGGCUCGAAAGCGUGGGGAGCAAACAGGAUUAGAUACCCCAGUAGUC